GCUCGUAUAGUGUAGGUGGUUAUCACAUGUCGUUGUGGUUUUACAGCAUCCGACAUAACCGCUGUUCGACUCAGCGUGCGAGCA